ACAUUUAUGAAAAGCAAAAUGGGUAUUAUGGAGCAAAACAUUUUACCCCAUAUCGUAAAGGGGGGAGGACAACCAACAUCUGACACGAUUCCCAAGCCUGACCUAAGCACAUCCUUAAAACGGGUUUUAUUUCUGUCUGAGUUAUUUUAUAUAUUUUUCGUUAAGACUCAUUUAAGGACAGCUAUACAUGUAGGUAUGUAAUUUCAGUAUGAUCACACUGAAAAGGAAGUUCGUGUUGCUCAAUCUGAGUUCUCUGUAAAUAUCGGAGCAGCUGACAGCGGAUAGCAAGAAUUUGAAUAAAAUAUUGAAUUGUAGAAGAGACCACACCAACCUUCAAACAACCGACUUUCUCAGAAAAAAAUGUACAAAUAGACAAACAACGUACAGUUGUGAUAGAUAAAUUUGGUACUUGCACAAAAUGGGGGAUUGAACUUGUUUCACGUACGGAAAAGCAACCCAGAUGCCGGCUUAUCUAGACAAGUUGUGAAAACUAACACAAUGAAAAUCCUGCUCAAUGGAACUAGAUUAAAAUUUUAAUGACAGAUUUGCCACUUACGGUAACAAGGAACUAAUAGACGGCUCAUACUUAAAAUCAAGUUGAAAAUGAGAGAAUGGUUAACUUCUAGUUGUGUUAGGGGUA
rnacentral:lncRNA from 1 species